rnacentral:rRNA from 1 species
GACGAACGCUGGCGGCGUGCUUAACACAUGCAAGUCGAACGGAAAGGCCCUGCUUUUGUGGGGUGCUCGAGUGGCGAACGGGUGAGUAACACGUGAGUAACCUGCCCUUGACUUUGGGAUAACUUCAGGAAACUGGGGCUAAUACCGGAUAGGAGCUCCUGCUGCAUGGUGGGGGUUGGAAAGUUUCGGCGGUUGGGGAUGGACUCGCGGCUUAUCAGCUUGUUGGUGGGGUAGUGGCUUACCAAGGCUUUGACGGGUAGCCGGCCUGAGAGGGUGACCGGCCACAUUGGGACUGAGAUACGGCCCAGACUCCUACGGGAGGAAGCAGUGGGGAAUAUUGCACAAUGGGCGGAAGCCUGAUGCAGCAACGCCGCGUGCGGGAUGACGGCCUUCGGGUUGUAGGCCGCUUUCGCCUGUGACGAAGCGUGAGUGACGGUAAUGGGUAAAGAAGCACGGGCUAACUACGUG